GGGCCCGCACAAGCGGUGGAGCAUGUGGUUUAAUUCGAUGAUACGCGAGGAACCUUACCAGGACUUAAAUGUAAGUUGCAUGAUUCAGAAAUGAAUCUUUCUUCGGACUACUUACAAGGUGCUGCAUGGUUGUCGUCAGCUCGUGCCGUGAGGUGUCAGGUUAAGUCCUAUAACGAGCGCAACCCCUAUCGUUAGUUGCCAUCAAGUAAAGUUGGGAACUCUAGCGAAACUGCCGGUGUAAACCGUGAGGAAGGUGGGGAUGACGUCAAAUCAUCACGGCCCUUACGUUCUGGGCUACACACGUGCUACAAUGGCCGGUACAGAAAGCAGCCACUAUGCGAAUAGGAGCUAAUCUUUAAAACCGGUCUCAGUUCGGAUCGCAGUCUGCAACUCGACUGCGUGAAGCUGGAAUCGCUAGUAA
rnacentral:rRNA from 1 species